rnacentral:rRNA from 1 species
AGUGAACGCUGGCGGUAGGCCUAACACAUGCAAGUCGAACGGCAGCACAGUAAGAGCUUGCUCUUACGGGUGGCGAGUGGCGGACGGGUGAGGAAUACAUCGGAAUCUACUUUUUCGUGGGGGAUAACGUAGGGAAACUUACGCUAAUACCGCAUACGACCUACGGGUGAAAGCAGGGGAUCUUCGGACCUUGCGCGAUUGAAUGAGCCGAUGUCGGAUUAGCUAGUUGGCGGGGUAAAGGCCCACCAAGGCGACGAUCCGUAGCUGGUCUGAGAGGAUGAUCAGCCACACUGGAUCUGAGACACGGUCCAGACUCCUACGGGAGGCAGCAGUGGGGAAUAUUGGACAAUGGGCGCAAGCCUGAUCCAGCCAUACCGCGUGGGUGAAGAAGGCCUUCGGGUUGUAAAGCCCUUUUGUUGGGAAAGAAAAGCAGCAGGUUAAUACCCCGCUGUUCUGACGGUACCCAAAGAAUAAGCACCGGCUAACUUCGU